ensembl:lncRNA
GACCCACUCAGCCCUGUCCUGUCACCGGUUCGGUUGCAGAGAAUAAACAACCUGUGUGUCAGGCACGCUGACAGAGGGGUUUUCAUCAGCCCUGGGUGGGAGGUGCCUUGUGCACCUGAGGGGCUACCGGGACUCAGUGACAAAGCUAAGAAAGAUUCGAACCCAGGAAGCUGAUGCUGGGUGUUCAUUUUGUGCUGCUGCAGCUCUGGAUGCUGAACAGAGGAGGAAGAAGGGAAGAGAGCCUGGGCAGCUGGCUGGGAAAAGGCAGAGGGUGCUUUCCUGUCGCUGCCUGCUCUUGCUAAGCAUUGGGAGAAGAGGGAGAAUGUGGAAGGAGAGUGCACACCUGGGAGCUGCAUCCACUGGCUGACCAGAAUUGAACACAGGACCAUGUGCUUGCCAGGUCCACUGAGCUACAUCCCUGGCCCGGACUCCAGAAUGUUUGACCUGUGGAAAAGAAUGAUCAUUUCCUGCAUUGGAGAAUUUUAUUUA